GAAGUGGUGGUUCAGUGGUAGGAUUUCUGCUUCUCAUGCAGAAGACCUGGGUUCAAUUCCCAGCCAAUGCA